ACAGGGAGUAAAAGGGGUCCAAGGAGUCAAAGGAGAGAAGGGUAGUCCUGGGUUCGGCAUUCCUGGACAGCAGGGACCAAAGGGAGAAAAUGGUGAAAGGGGAAAUGUUGGCUUGUCUGGGAAACCUGGACCCAAGGGGCACGAUGGCUCUAAAGGGGCAGGGGGAACUGUUGGGGUCCCCGGGAAUCCCGGAGCACCAGGUCUAAGAGGGUGUGCCUGGAAUCAAAGGAGAAUCAGGACUACGGGGAGAGCAGGGACCAGCAGGUGAGCCUGGUGAGAGAGGAACAAGGGGCCCACUGGGGUUACCGGGACGACCAGGGGACCCAGCAGAGAAAGGAGAUACCGGGAACAUUGGUUUGCCUGGAACGGAGGGAAAGAAAGGAGAGCCUGUAGGUGUACAGUCACAACAACAUGACGGACAUGUAUCACUGCAUGCAGCGGUUGACUGACUCUCCAUCACACUUGGUUUAGGUCAAUGUCUCACGUCACUGACUUCGCCCAUUGUUCAGGAACAUCAACACUCUUGUGUUUCUAAUUAUAUUCCUAGCCUGAUAAAUGCACAAAUGAAAAAUCCCAGCUUUAUUAAUCAUGUUAUGUUCCCCUUGAGUGAGUGUUGCAUCUCCCAUCAGUAUUGUGAUGGUGAUGCAGGACUGCUCAGCUCGCACAGUGUGUUUACGAGCUGCUAGUUGACCGCACAUCCCUCUUGUUUUGUUUUGUUCCCAUGGU